UACGUAGGGUGCAAGCGUUGUCCGGAAUUAUUGGGCGUAAAGAGCUCGUAGGCGGUUUGUCGCGUCGAAUGUGAAAACCCGGGGCUCAACUCCGGGCUUGCGGGCGAUACGGGCAGGCUAGAGUUCGGUAGGGGAGACUGGAAUUCCUGGUGUAGCGGUGAAAUGCGCAGAUAUCAGGAGGAACACCGGUGGCGAAGGCGGCUCUCUGGGCCUUACCUGACGCUGAGGAGCGAAAGCAUGGGGAGCGAACAGG
rnacentral:rRNA from 1 species